ensembl:lncRNA
AUGGGGCUUUUUUUCUUGUUUCUAACUCUGCCAUCACAUGUAGCCUACCUGGUACAUUGUACAGUACAAAAACACCGCUAGCCAAACACAGCGGUCUACUUGCCAGGUGUGCAAUUGAAUGGAAGGGCAACUACACUUGCCAAAGAAUUGUUCCCAGACCUCCAAAGUGGUCUUGUGAUUUGAUUUUUAAGCUUAAAGCAUCAAAUUUGUGUCGUUUUUUUCUCAUUUAAAAGUGUGGUUUUUGAGAGUGAAUUUGGGAAACUCUGAAACCGAGAAAACAUUUAACUGGGAAAAUGAAAUUUGCCAAAAGAGAACUGAUUUUAUAGGGUCCUACAACUGUAGAGUGACCAAAACAAUAUAACACCCUUUUUCAGAAUGCACAAAGGUUUUAUUUUCUCCUCCCAAAACAAUCAAUGUAAAAAUGUAAUUAUUUGUAUAUGGAGGCUAGGUUAUCAUAGGCUACAUACUUAGCCCGCAAAUUACAGGAAACAUUUUAAAUAAUGCACACAUCAUCCGCUUUCCCAGGCCAGUAAUUCUUUUCAUUAUAGGCCAGUAGUUUUCAGUUGUGUGUCGCUGGCAAAUUUACCUGACUGUCAAACUCUGCAAGGACAUGCUAAUUUAAAAGAGGGCUAGUUUAUUUAUUAGUCUGGUUCUGGAUGGUUCUGGAUGGUUCUGGAUGGAGUACAGGUACACGGGUCAGAAAAAAAUGUGUGCAACCAAAUCAUGUGAAUAAAUCACCAACUGAAUAAAUUAGUUGUAGCAGUGCCACCAGUGGAAAAAGUUGGUUAGGAAAACUCAUGACCUAACCAUGUUUCUCUGGCUGUUUCAGGGUCGGUUAGAGUCGACAUUCCCAAGAUGCUGGAGUUGUUCCAGACUGGGCAUGAGUAUAUAGUGGAGAAGGAACUCUGUCAUCACUACGGUAGGAACGCGGUAAGUAUGAAGGAACACUGUCAUCACUACGGAAGGAACGGUAAGUAUGAAGGCACACUGUCAUCACUACGGUAGGAACGGUAAGUAUGAAGGAACACUGUCAUCACUACGGUAGGAACGGUAAGUCUGAAGGAACACUGUCAUCACUACGGUAGGAACGGUAAGUAUGAAGGCACACUGUCAUCACUACGGUAGGAACGGUAAGUAUGAAGGCACACUGUCAUCGCUACGGUAGGAACGGUAAGUAUGAAGGAACACUGUCAUCACUACGGUAGGAACGGUAAGUAUGAAGGCACACUGUCAUCACUACGGUAGGAACGGUAAGUAUGAAGGCACACUGUCAUCACUACGGUAGGAACGGUAAGUAUGAAGGCACACUGUCAUCACUACGGUAGGAACGGUAAGUAUGAAGGCACACUCAUCGCUACGGUAGGAACGGUAAGUAUGAAGGCACACUCAUCGCUACGGUAGGAACGGUAAGUAUGAAGGCAUUACGGAACGACCUACAGUAUAAUCACCACAACGUUAAAGCAUACUGGUAAUCCUCACAAAUGUCUGUCAGAUUAUCCAAGGUUAAGAGAAUUAAUCCAAGGUUAAGAGAAUUAAUCCAAGGUUAAGAGAAUUAAUCCAAGGUUAAGAGAAUGCCAAGAGUGUGCAAAGCUGCCAUCAAGGCAAAGGGUGGCUAUUUGAAGAAUCUCAAAUAUGAAAUAUUUUUUAUCCAAGUACCUCCCAGCGCAUCGUUGUUCGUAACAUGACAUGUACCUAUACUAAGAGUAACUACGGUGUAAUUUAUUAAUGAACUGAUAGUAACAAUAGAACAUAGUUGUAGGAGCCAUUUUGGCCUGUUUAUGAGUUGUGGAAAUGUUCUCUGUUAUUUCUUUAUUUGUUUUCUACACUAGAGGGCACUAUAUGUUGGGGUCAUGGG